CGUGCAGGCGGGUUGGUAAGUCAGAUGUGAAAGCCCUGGGCUCAACCCAGGAAGUGCAUUUGAAACUGCCAUCCUAGAGUAUGGGAGAGGAGAGUGGAAUUCCCAAUGUAGAGGUGAAAUUCGUAGAUAUUGGGAGGAACACCCGUGGCGAAGGCGACUCUCUGGACCAAUACUGACGCUGAGACGCGAAAGCGUGGGGAGCAAACAGGAUUAGAUACCCGGGUAGUCC
rnacentral:rRNA from 1 species